rnacentral:lncRNA from 1 species
UGUCCUUUCGUGUUUAAAAUGAAAAUUUUCGGUUGAGGAUAUGUUUACAUGUUAAAACGUGACAUCCCACUUUUAUUUCAUUUUUUAUUUUCCUGAUGUUGGUUUGGACUGGGCCGCACGCAUUUAUGCUCUUCCCACCCCUUCAUUCUAGCCCAAUUUCUUAUUUCAACUGAAUGGCCUUGUAUCUAAAUUACUUGUCUGCACCCCCUUUCCUUUCUCUUUUCUUAUUGAAUAUUUGUUUCUUUCCUU